CCUGCCCCUGGAAAUUUCUAUUACAUGCAUCCGACGAAGUGGGCAUUCACCCACGAAAGCUUAUGCUCCAAUACAUCUGUUAAUCUUAAAGGUGCCACAGGACUCUCUCUUGCUUUUUCCUGACUUAAACACCCCCCAGGUGGAAUCGAAUAGCAGAAGGAUCUGAGUCCUUGCUCUCUCUUCCUUCACCCAGAGCCUGCUUCACCCUGAGGGCUCCCCUUCCACUCUCCUGUGUGGAAAAGUCCUUAUAACCCCAACAAGGCUGGGCCCAGGCUUCCUGAGGGACUCGACCCCCAACCUGGUUGUGACCACUCAGGACCCGGGCUACAGCGUCCCCACUCCAGCGGCACUCCAGGCUUCCGGUGGCACUUUGGCAGCGGGACCUUCAGUGCCACCGAAGACAACCGGAGUGAGAGAAGGGCCCACCGCCAAAGACCCGGAGCGCAGCCGGGAGGUAAUGCUGCAAGUGAGAAGAGGCAAUCUUAUGACACUGUUGCAGCCGGAGUCACAAGAUAUUUACAUGCCAGAUGCGCUAAAGAUUCCUCAGCAACUGGUACAGAUGCUGGUGACCGCCGAGGAGGUCGCUGUGUAUUUCACCCAGGGGCAGGGGGCUCUUCUGGACCCCGCUCAGAGAGCCCUCUACAGGGACGUCAUGCGGGAGAACUAAGAGACAGUGACCUUGCUGGGUAAGGGAUUCCUGGCCCCUUGGUUAUUGGAAGCUGGGAGGGUCUGCAUGUCUGACACCGGUCAGGUUCUUCCCUCAUCACUCUCCAAUGAGACCAGGGUGUCAAAACCUAAGGCACAUACUAAAUCAUCCCCAGUCAACACCCUUAGUUUGCAAGGUGGAGAAGCCGUGUAUUGUCCUGUCUGUGUUGUUUCUCGGUCGCUCACAGAAUCCCUCUUCUCCCUCCUCCUUUGGAACAGCUGCUGCCAUGUGGAGGGCUCUGCGCUGCACAGGUUUAGAAAUAGGCAGGGGUUUAACACUAGAGCUGGGUGUGUAUCACAAUUCCUCUCACCUCACUGAGGGGGCUCAGUGACCAUAUUCUGGUCCUCUUAGAUUCCACAUUCCCCAGCACAGCACAGGGACAGGUUCCAAUCAUGGAAUGUCCUUUCUGACAGACGCUCUCUCAAUCCUCCACACAUCCUGAUUUGGUAUAAAGUGCAAACUUUGUAUUCUGCAAAUCAACAAGGAGUCCUUGUGGCAGCUUAGAGACUAAAAAAUUUAUUUGGGCAUAAGCUUUUGUGGGCUAUAAUCCAAAAUAUUUAAAUAAAUGGUAUUCUAUAAUUGUUUAACAGUGUGAAUAAUCAUGAUAAUUUUUUUAUUUUUUUUAAUUGUUUGACAGCCCUAGAAGAUAGCAAUUGUAAUAGUCUAUGUUAAUCUGUAAGAAGCUAUAGAUAAACAGUGUAACCAAAGGGUUCCCGUCUAGGACUGUAUUUUGUUAAUUCAGAAGUCAAAAGGAAAUAUAACAUUUAGAUGAAACUUGGGUGUAAUAAUAUCAUUGUAUACAUAUAUAUCUUUAAAGUUUGUGGUAAACUGUCUAUGAAUGGUUUAAUGGAUAAUUAAUUACCUUAUGUUAAUCCAAUGUAGUUUUAUUACCUGUGAUGUUUGGGAAAUAGGAGGUUACUUCCAAAACCUAUUGUUCACCCAAGGACUGCCUGCUUUCGAGAGGCUGCAAAAAUGUCUAUAUAAACUCUUGGGUCCUGA